UGUGAUCUCAAGUCUCUACUGGAAUUGGA
rnacentral:piRNA from 1 species